AGUGAACGCUGGCGGUAGGCCUAACACAUGCAAGUCGAACGGCAGCACAGUAAGAGCUUGCUCUUACGGGUGGCGAGUGGCGGACGGGUGAGGAAUACAUCGGAAUCUACUUUUUCGGGGGGGAUAACGUAGGGAAACUUACGCUAAUACCGCAUACGACCUACGGGUGAAAGCAGUGGAUCUUCGGACCUUGCGCGAUUGAAUUAGCCGAUGUCGGAUUAGCUAGUUGGCGGGGUAAAGGCCCACCAAGGCGACGAUCCGUAGCUGAUCUGAGAGGAUGAUCAGCCACACUGGAACUGAGACACGGUCCAGACUCCUACGGGAGGCGGCAGUGGGGAAUAUUGCACAAUGGGCGAAAGCCUGACCCAGCAAUACCGCGUGGGUGAAGAAGGCCUUCGGGUUGUAAAGCCCUGUUGUUGGGAAAGAAAAGCAGCAGGUUAAUACCCCGCUGUUCUGACGGUACCCAAAGAAUAAGCACCGGCUAACUUCGUG
rnacentral:rRNA from 1 species